rnacentral:rRNA from 1 species
GACGAACGCUGGCGGCGCGCUUAACACAUGCAAGUCGAACGGAAAGGCCUGCUUUCCCUUGUGGAUUGCGGGUACUCGAGUGGCGAACGGGUGAGUAACACGUGAGUGAUCUGCCCCCAACUUGGGUAUAAGCCUGGGAAACUGGGUCUAAUUCCCGAUAGGACUGCAGGGUGGUGCCUUUGGUGGAAAACGAUUUUCUAGUGGUUGGGGAUGAGCUCGCGGCCUAUCAGCUUGUUGGGGGGGUAAUGGCCUACCAAGGCGGCGACGGGUAGCCGGCCUGGGAGGGUGGACGGCCAAAUGGGGACUGAGAGACGGCCCAGACUCCUACGGGAGGCAGCAGUGGGGAAUAUUGGACAAUGGGCGGAAGCCUGAUGCAGCGACGCAGCGUGGGGGAUGACGGCCUUCGGGUUGUAAACUCCUUUCGACCGCGAGGAAGCCACCUGGUUGGGAGGGUGGUGACGGUAGUGGUAGAAGAAGCACCGGCUAACUACGUG